GUGGACCGGGAUGUAUUCGGGGCCUGCAGCGUGGAGAGUACAGAUGCCUGCAAGACUGUGUUGAAAGAAACACAACUUCCUAGGAAGGUCUCCAUGGAGUAAGGACACUCACAACAACCCAUUCUGCCUGCAAUCCGACAUUCUACGCCUUUCUUCUCAUCGCUGGCCUUAGAGGAUGGUUUGAUGAAGUGUCUGUUACACUUUCCUCUUCUGCAUGUGAGGGGAGUUCUGAGAUACCACAGGCAGGGCCACAUCCCAUGUGCUGUUUCCAGCUUUACAUGAUCCUAAAGAGCUGCUGGUGACAGAAACCUGGGGACCCUGAUGUGAGACUUUCCUGUUUCUACCAACAUGUUACGAUGAACACUGCUGGCCACUCAUUAAAUACCUCAUUUCACUAUAUGCUCUAUGGUUAUAACAACAAUGGCUGCCUCAUAAAGAUUUGAGGAAACUAAAUAUGUGGCUAGUGCAUACUCAUGCGCAAUAAACGUUUUAUUGUUCAUUUCAGGGAGAUGUCUUCUAAGUUGGUGAACAGUGGCACAGAAAGGAACAAGCCACAGAGAACAAAUGAUGUGCCUUGUUCAACCCUCUCCAAACUGGCUAGAACUUGCUGCUUGAUUCGGGUGGCGGAGUCAGGAGGGAAUCCCUCAGGAGCUGGGAAGCCUGAAGCACAGCCAGGUGAGGACAGUCACCCACCCAGAGC